rnacentral:rRNA from 1 species
UACAGAGGUCUCAAGCGUUUGUUCGGAUUCAUUGGGCGUAAAGGGUGUGUAGGUGGCGCGCUAAGUCGGGUGUGAAAUUUCGGAGCUUAACUCCGAAACUGCAUUCGAUACUGGCGUGCUUGAGGACUGGAGAGGAGACUGGAAUUCAUGGUGUAGCAGUGAAAUGCGUAGAGAUCAUGAGGAAGACCAGUGGCGAAGGCGGGUCUCUGGACAGUUCCUGACACUGAGACACGAAGGCCAGGGAGCAAACGGG